rnacentral:rRNA from 1 species
UUGAACGCUGGCGGCAUGCCUUACACAUGCCAGUCGAACGGCAGCACGGGUGCUUGCACCUGGUGGCGAGUGGCGAACGGGUGAGUAAUACAUCGGAACAUGUCCUGUAGUGGGGGAUAGCCCGGCGAAAGCCGGAUUAAUACCGCAUACGAUCUACGGAUGAAAGCGGGGGACCUUCGGGCCUCGCGCUAUAGGGUUGGCCGAUGGCUGAUUAGCUAGUUGGUGGGGUAAAGGCCUACCAAGGCGACGAUCAGUAGCUGGUCUGAGAGGACGACCAGCCACACUGGGACUGAGACACGGCCCAGACUCCUACGGGAGGCAGCAGUGGGGAAUUUUGGACAAUGGGCGAAAGCCUGAUCCAGCAAUGCCGCGUGUGUGAAGAAGGCCUUCGGGUUGUAAAGCACUUUUGUCCGGAAAGAAAUCCUUGGCCCUAAUACGGCCGGGGGAUGACGGUACCGGAAGAAUAAGCACCGGCUAACUACGUG